AUUGAACGCUGGCGGCAUGCCUUACACAUGCAAGUCGAACGGUAACGCGGGGCAACCUGGCGACGAGUGGCGAACGGGUGAGUAAUGCAUCGGAACGUGCCCAGUAGUGGGGGAUAGCCCGGCGAAAGCCGGAUUAAUACCGCAUACGACCUACGGGUGAAAGCGGGGGAUCGCAAGACCUCGCGCUAUUGGAGCGGCCGAUGUCAGAUUAGGUAGUUGGUGAGGUAAAGGCUCACCAAGCCUUCGAUCUGUAGCUGGUCUGAGAGGACGACCAGCCACACUGGGACUGAGACACGGCCCAGACUCCUACGGGAGGCAGCAGUGGGGAAUUUUGGACAAUGGGCGCAAGCCUGAUCCAGCCAUGCCGCGUGCGGGAAGAAGGCCUUCGGGUUGUAAACCGCUUUUGUCAGGGAAGAAACGCUCUGGGCUAAUACCCUGGGGUAAUGACGGUACCUGAAGAAUAAGCACCGGCUAACUACGUGCCAGCAGCCGCGGUAAUACGUAGGGUGCAAGCGUUAAUCGGAAUUACUGGGCGUAAAGCGUGCGCAGGCGGUUAUGCAAGACAGAUGUGAAAUCCCCGGGCUUAACCUGGGAACUGCAUUUGUGACUGCAUAGCUAGAGUGCGGCAGAGGGGGAU
rnacentral:rRNA from 1 species